rnacentral:rRNA from 1 species
AGAGUUUGAUCCUGGCUCGAUUGAACGCUGGCGGCAGGCCUAACACAUGCAAGUCGAGCGGAAACGAGUUAUCUGAACCUUCGGGGAACGAUAACGGCGUCGAGCGGCGGACGGGUGAGUAAUGCCUAGGAAAUUGCCCUGAUGUGGGGGAUAACCAUUGGAAACGAUGGCUAAUACCGCAUGAUGCCUACGGGCCAAAGAGGGGGACCUUCGGGCCUCUCGCGUCAGGAUAUGCCUAGGUGGGAUUAGCUAGUUGGUGAGGUAAGGGCUCACCAAGGCGACGAUCCCUAGCUGGUCUGAGAGGAUGAUCAGCCACACUGGAACUGAGACACGGUCCAGACUCCUACGGGAGGCAGCAGUGGGGAAUAUUGCACAAUGGGCGCAAGCCUGAUGCAGCCAUGCCGCGUGUAUGAAGAAGGCCUUCGGGUUGUAAAGUACUUUCAGUCGUGAGGAAGGUAGUGUAGUUAAUAGCUGCAUUAUUUGACGUUAGCGACAGAAGAAGCACCGGCUAACUCCGUGCCAGCAGCCGCGGUAAUACGGAGGGUGCGAGCGUUAAUCGGAAUUACUGGGCGUAAAGCGCAUGCAGGUGGUUUGUUAAGUCAGAUGUGAAAGCCCGGGGCUCAACCUCGGAAUAGCAUUUGAAACUGGCAGACUAGAGUACUGUAGAGGGGGGUAGAAUUUCAGGUGUAGCGGUGAAAUGCGUAGAGAUCUGAAGGAAUACCGGUGGCGAAGGCGGCCCCCUGGACAGAUACUGACACUCAGAUGCGAAAGCGUGGGGAGCAAACAGGAUUAGAUACCCUGGUAGUCCACGCCGUAAACGAUGUCUACUUGGAGGUUGUGGCCUUGAGCCGUGGCUUUCGGAGCUAACGCGUUAAGUAGACCGCCUGGGGAGUACGGUCGCAAGAUUAAAACUCAAAUGAAUUGACGGGGGCCCGCACAAGCGGUGGAGCAUGUGGUUUAAUUCGAUGCAACGCGAAGAACCUUACCUACUCUUGACAUCCAGAGAACUUUCCAGAGAUGGAUUGGUGCCUUCGGGAACUCUGAGACAGGUGCUGCAUGGCUGUCGUCAGCUCGUGUUGUGAAAUGUUGGGUUAAGUCCCGCAACGAGCGCAACCCUUAUCCUUGUUUGCCAGCGAGUAAUGUCGGGAACUCCAGGGAGACUGCCGGUGAUAAACCGGAGGAAGGUGGGGACGACGUCAAGUCAUCAUGGCCCUUACGAGUAGGGCUACACACGUGCUACAAUGGCGCAUACAGAGGGCGGCCAACUUGCGAAAGUGAGCGAAUCCCAAAAAGUGCGUCGUAGUCCGGAUUGGAGUCUGCAACUCGACUCCAUGAAGUCGGAAUCGCUAGUAAUCGUGGAUCAGAAUGCCACGGUGAAUACGUUCCCGGGCCUUGUACACACCGCCCGUCACACCAUGGGAGUGGGCUGCAAAAGAAGUAGGUAGUUUAACCUUCGGGGGGACGCUUACCACUUUGUGGUUCAUGACUGGGGUGAAGUCGUAACAAGGUAGCC